AACUUUCAACAACGGAUCGUCGUUGGUUCUGGGCAUCGAUGAAGAACGCAGCAAAAUGCGAUAAUGUAAUGUGAAUUGCAGAAUUCAGUGAAUCAUCGAAUCUUUGAACGCACAUUGCGCCCGCUGGUAUUCCGGCGGGCAUGCC
rnacentral:rRNA from 1 species